AGAGAGUCAGGUUUCAUGUGAGAUAUAGAGGUUCCAUAUGAGAGAGUCAGGUUUCAUGUGAGAUAUAGAGGUUCCAUAUGAGAGAGUCAUGUUCCAUGUGAGAGAGUCAGGUUCCAUGUGAGAGAGUCAGGUUCCAUGUGAGAUAUAGAGGUUCCAUGUGAGAGAGUCAGGUUUCAUGUGAGAUAUAGAGGUUCCAUGUGAGAGAGUCAGGUUUCAUGUGAUAUAGAGGUUCCAUGUGAGAGAGUCAGGUUUCAUGUGAUAUAGAGGUUCCAUAUGAAAAGAGUCAGGUUCUAUGUGAGAUAUUGAGGUUCCAUAUGAGAGAUGGAUGCUCUAUGGGAGAGAUGCAUGCUCUAUGUGAGAGAUUGA
rnacentral:sRNA from 1 species